CCCCGCCCCGUCAGGACCCGCGGCAGCUGCCCCCGUCCCCCCGUCCCCGAGGAGCGACGCCGAAGGAGCGGGAGCGACUCACUCAUGGGAGCGCGGCGGGCGAGGCCGGCGACACCUCCGGCUUCCGAGGCGCCGGCGAAGUUAAUUGCACUGAAGUUCAAGUUGUCUUUUCACCCAUCAGGAGUGGGCGUUUAAAGGAAGGAGAGCGAGGAGGAGGAGGGGGAGGGGGGAGAGCCUCUCUCGCUCGCUUUCGCACACACACACACACACACACACACACACAUACACAGAGAGAGAGAGAGAGAGACGCGCACACAGACACACGCACACAGACGCGCACGCCCGCCCGCUCCCGCGCUGCCUCAGCAGGAGGAGCCCGGCCGGAACACACCAGGGCAGCACCAGAUAAAAAUUUAUUUGCCUGCAGCUGGUCUGCUGUAGCGCUUUGGACCUAUUCGCUUCUCAGAGAAGACUUGGCUUUUCAUGGUCUCUAGGUACCACGGGGCAAUAAAUAGAAAGUCAGUGCAAGGGGGAUGUUCACACUUUUACAGUCACAACUCUCCGCUGCCUCCUCGCUGAGCUCUUCUGUCUGCCUAACCAGCAUGCUCCUGUUGUCCAAGACCCAUCUCCUUUAUUUGUAUCACACCCCUGUCUGGCUGGUCAGUGAAUCUUAAUAAUAAUCAUGUUUCAUGUCUCAGAAAUCUAAUAAUCAAGUUACUCAUUCGUAUAAAUUGCAACUAAGCUGUUUGGAUUCGUUGUGUUAUCCCCACUUUAAAGGCACGGAAACUGAAACAGAAAAAUUAACACAUUUGCCUGAGGCCACACAUGGAUUGAAG
ensembl:lncRNA